rnacentral:rRNA from 1 species
UACGUAGGGUCCGAGCGUUGUCCGGAAUUAUUGGGCGUAAAGGGCUCGUGGGCGGUCUGUCGCGUCGGGAGUGAAAACUUACAGCUUAACUGUGAGCGUGCUUCCGAUACGGGCAGACUUGAGGUAUUCAGGGGAGAACGGAAUUCCUGGUGUAGCGGUGAAAUGCGCAGAUAUCAGGAGGAACACCGAUGGCGAAGGCAGGUCACUGGGCCGCAACUGACGCUGAGGAGCGAAAGCAUGGGGAGCGAACAGG